AACGGGGGGAGCUAGCGUUGUUCGGAAUUACUGGGCGUAAAGAGUGUGUAGGCGGUGCUCUAAGUCUGUUGUGAAAUCUCCCGGCUUAACUGGGAGGGUGCGGCGGAGACUGGAGUGCUAGAGUGUGGGAGAGGUAAGCGGAAUUCCUGGUGUAGCGGUGAAAUGCGUAGAUAUCAGGAGGAACACCUGUGGUGUAGACAGCUUACUGGACCACGACUGACGCUGAGACACGAAAGCGUGGGUAGCAAACAGG
rnacentral:rRNA from 1 species